UUAAGCCGAUAGGUGUAGGCGCAGCGAAAGCGAGUCUUAAUAGGGCGUCGAGUUCGUGGGAUCAGACCCGAAACCGAGUGAUCUAGGCAUGACCAGGAUGAAGGUAAGGUAACACUUACUGGAGGUCCGAACCCACACCUGUUGAAAAAGGUCGGGAUGAGUUGUGCCUAGGGGUGAAAGGCCAAUCAAACUCGGAGAUAGCUGGUUCUCCGCGAAAUCUAUUUAGGUAGAGCGUCGACCGAAUACCCUCGGGGGUAGAGCACUGGAUGGGUAAUGGGGACUCACCGUCUUACUGAUCCUAACCAAACU
rnacentral:rRNA from 12 species